rnacentral:rRNA from 1 species
UACGGAGGGAGCUAGCGUUGUUCGGAAUUACUGGGCGUAAAGCGCACGUAGGCGGCUUUGUAAGUUAGAGGUGAAAGCCCGGGGCUCAACUCCGGAAUUGCCUUUAAGACUGCAUCGCUUGAAUCCGGGAGAGGUGAGUGGAAUUCCGAGUGUAGAGGUGAAAUUCGUAGAUAUUCGGAAGAACACCAGUGGCGAAGGCGGGUCUCUGGGCCGAUACUGACGCUGAGGAGCGAAAGCGUGGGGAGCGAACAGG